UAGCUCAGUUGGUAAAGAAUCUGCCUGCAAUGCAGGAGACUCAGGUUCAAUUCCUGG
rfam:Ovis aries breed Texel chromosome 3, whole genome shotgun sequence.